UACGUAGGGUGCGAGCGUUGUCCGGAAUUACUGGGCGUAAAGAGCUCGUAGGUGGUUUGUCGCGUUGUUCGUGAAAACCGGGGGCUUAACCCUCGGCGUGCGGGCGAUACGGGCAGACUGGAGUACUGCAGGGGAGACUGGAAUUCCUGGUGUAGCGGUGGAAUGCGCAGAUAUCAGGGGGAACACCGGUGGCGAAGGCGGGUCUCUGGGCAGUAACUGACGCUGAGGAGCGAAAGCGUGGGGAGCGAACAGG
rnacentral:rRNA from 1 species